GGAUCUUGCUGGAGAUCCUUGUGUACUUGAGGCCUUCUGAAGGCAAUUUACAGGGACCGAGGAAAAAUGGCUUUAAUAGACACCAGCACGGAGGUGUGCAUCGGGAACAUGUCUCACCCCUGGCAGCAGAUGCUCACAAAGCUACAAGAUGCAAAGCCCAGCAGGACGUGGGGGAAAUAACCCAAGUGCCCUCCUCCCUGCUCACUUCUCUUGGAGAACAAACUGGAGAAACCCUAAAUUAGAGAGCAAGAAGAGCUAAGCUAACAGGAGAAGAAGAAACUGAGGACAGACAGGCAAAGGGCUGAGCUGGGAGUUGCUAAGCAAGAAGUUGGUUUAUCCAGAUGUAUUUUUGGGACAUUGCUUUGAUUCAUCACAGAUAAGAGCGGUUCGAUGGUUGUUUUUUUUUUCUUUUUUAUCCUCUUGCCUAUGCUCAAACCCUAUCAUUACCCGGCAAGAGAAGGGAAGAAUUAAACACACGCAUCAUUUGAUUUUAAUUGAAGGACUGUUCUAUUUCAUUGAACUGCUAACUAAGCUGAACAGGAGAUUGUGUUUACAUAAGCAAACCCUGAGUCAGUAUAGACUUGCUGUCACAUUAAGUCAAUACUUAUGAAGGCUCUCUAUUUAAUUA